UCAAACCAGGUUGUUCUCAUCACCUGUUCUGCAGGAGCAUUCAUCUUUCUCAUGCUGAUGCUCUCAGUACUGCUAUGUAAAUACUCAAAGAGAUGUAUAACAAAAAGGCCUGGACCAAAAGAAGAGCUUGAAAAAGUUUUUAGUGGUGCUGAAGGAGAAAACGGCCUCCUUGCCUUGUGAACAGCUCCCAUCUGCAGAUGCCGUCUGAAGAAAGUAUAGCUGCAUUGCAAAUAAAAAKGGGUUGCUCAAUGUUACAUUGGGAAAGAAGGUUCAUUUGUU